ACGGGUGAGUAACGCGUGAGCAACCUGACCUUCAGAGGGGGAUAACACCUGGAAACAAGUGCUAAUACCGCAUAAGACCACGACCCGACAUCGGGAUGAGGUCAAAGGAGCAAUCCGCUGAGGGAGGGGCUCGCGUCCCAUUAGAUAGAUGGCGGGGUAACGGCCCACCAUGUCGACGAUGGGUAGCCGAGCUGAGAGGCUGAUCGGCCACACUGGAACUGAGACACGGUCCAGACUCCUACGGGAGGCAGCAGUGGGGAAUAUUGGGCAAUGGGCGCAAGCCUGACCCAGCAACGCCGCGUGAGGGAAGAAGGCUUUCGGGUUGUAAACCUCUGUCCUUGGUGACGAAAAAAAUGACGGUAGCCAAGGAGGAAGCCCCGGCUAACUACUGU
rnacentral:rRNA from 1 species